UCCGGCUUACCACCGGCGGUCCCUUUAGAGUUCCCAACUGAAUGAUGGCAACUAAGGGCGAGGGUUGCGCUCGUUGCGGGACUUAACCCAACAUCUCACGACACGAGCUGACGACAGCCAUGCAGCACCUGUCACCGGUCCAGCCGAACUGAAGGACUUCAUCUCUGAUGUCCGCGACCGGGAUGUCAAAGGCUGGUAAGGUUCUGCGCGUUGCUUCGAAUUGAACCACAUGCUCCACCGCUUGUGCAGGCCCCCGUCAAUUUCUUUGAGUUUUAGCCUUGCGGCCGUACUCCCCAGGCGGGGCGCUUAAUGCGUUAGCUGCGGCACGGAGGACGUGGAAUGUCCCCCACACCUAGCGCCCAACGUUUACGGCGUGGACUAC
rnacentral:misc_RNA from 1 species